GACGAACCGAGCGAACGUUGUUCGGAAUCACUGGGCUUAAAGGGCGCGUAGGCGGGCUGUCAAGUCUGGGGUGAAAUCCCGCGGCUCAACUGUGGAACUGCCUCAGAUACUGACGGUCUCGAGGGGGAUAGGGGCGAGCGGAACUGUGAGUGGAGCGGUGAAAUGCGUAGAGAUGUGGAGGAACACCAGUGGCGAAGGCGACUCUCUGGUCUGUAACUGACGCUGAGGCACGAAAGCGUGGGGAGCAAACAGG
rnacentral:rRNA from 1 species